GUUGCCCCUCAAUGGGCAACCGGGAUUAGCAGCCCGUGUAUGUUAUCGGCGACGACAGACGCGCCAUGCGUCUUUUUU
rnacentral:sRNA from 1 species